rnacentral:rRNA from 1 species
UACGGGGGGGGCAAGCGUUGUUCGGAAUUACUGGGCGUAAAGGGCUCGUAGGUGGCCAACUAAGUCAGACGUGAAAUCCCUCGGCUUAACCGGGGAACUGCGUCUGAUACUGGAUGGCUUGAGUUUGGGAGAGGGAUGCGGAAUUCCAGGUGUAGCGGUGAAAUGCGUAGAUAUCUGGAGGAACACCGGUGGCGAAGGCGGCCUUCUGGACGAGUACUGACGCUGAGACGCGAAAGCGUGGGUAGCAAACAGG